rnacentral:rRNA from 1 species
CACGUAGGCGGGCCGUCUUGCGUCGUGUGAAAUCCCUCGGCUCAACCGAGGAAUGGCAUGGCGAACGGGCGGUCUUGAGGCAGGUAGAGGUGUGGGGAACUCUUGGUGGAGCGGUGGAAUGCGUAGAUAUCAAGAGGAACGCCGGAGACGAAGGUGCCGCACUGGGCCUGUCCUGACGCUGAGGUGCGAAAGCCAGGGGAGACGAAACG